rnacentral:rRNA from 1 species
CCCUUAGAUGUCCUGGGCCGCACGCGCGCUACACUGACAUGUUCAACAAGCCUCCUAGUUCGACAGGAUUUGGGAAAUCUUUGAACGCAUGUCGUGAUAGGGAUAGAUCAUUGCAAUUAUUGAUCUUGAACGAGGAAUUCCUAGUAAACGCGAGUCAUCAGCUCGCAUUGAUUACGUCCCUGCCCUUUGUACACACCGCCCGUCGCACCUACCGAUUGAAUGUUUCGGUGAAGAUUCCGGAUAGGACUUUUUUGAUUUAUUUCAAUUUUGUCUUAAAAGCUAUCUAAACCUCAACAUUUAGAGGAAGGUGAAGCCGUAACA